UACGGAGGGUGCGAGCGUUGUCCGGAAUCACUGGGCGUAAAGGGCGCGUAGGUGGCCCGAUGAGUCAACGGUGAAAGCUCGGCGCUUAACGCCGAGUCGGCCGUCGAUACUGUCGGGCUGGAGCACUGUAGAGGCAGGUGGAAUUCCGGGUGUAGCGGUGGAAUGCGUAGAGAUCCGGAAGAACACCGGUGGCGAAGGCGGCCUGCUGGGCAGUUGCUGACACUGAGGCGCGACAGCGUGGGGAGCAAACAGG
rnacentral:rRNA from 1 species